rnacentral:rRNA from 1 species
GCCCAGCACCGAAUCCUUCACCNUCUCGGUGACAGGAAAUGUGGUGUUUAGGCCGUACCUUGUCCCGACACGUCUCUCCUCAAGUCCACUUGAUUGUGGCCCCAGGCCCAGAGAGGGUGUAAGGCCCGUGGAGGCGAGACGUUCGGUACCUGGUGCGUCCUUAGAGUCGGGUUGUUUGGGAAUGCAGCCCUAAGCGGGUGGUAAACUCCAUCCAAGGCUAAAUACCAGCACGAGUCCGAUAGCGAAGAAGUACCGCGAGGGAAGGUUGAAAAGAACUUUGAAGAGAGAGUUCAAGAGUACGUGAAACCGCUGAGAGGCAAACUGGUGGAACUGAAAUGGUCCCGAGGAAUUCAGCCGUUGGUCGUUGCACAGUCUUUGGUGAUUGAUCUAACGACGGCGCCAUUGAAUGACGUUUCGAUCAUCGGUGCACUUUCCUCGCCUGGGCCCGACCACGACCGGUGAGCUGAUCUGUCUGUCGUGCUUGGAAGAUAGCGCCGUCUUCGGAAGGCGUGUUAUAGACAGGCAUACGGAGCAGUCGGCGCACUGGAUGAUAGUGCCUGCCCAUCUGGGCUCAUAUGGUGGUUGUUUUGUUGGCGAGUUCUGAUGUCACUACUUCGGUAGAGUCGUUAGACUCUGUUGGCAUUAUGGCUGUCCUCUAUGAUUGGCACUGUUAAGUCUGUGGUUGUGAAGUAGGUAGUCCACCUGACCCGUCUUGAAACACGGACCAAGGAGUCUAACAUGUGCGCGAGUCAUUGGGUUCACGAAACCUAAAGGCGCAGUGAAGGUAAAGAUCUGUUUUGGCAGAUUGAGGUGGGAUGCCGGGUUACGCGCCCGGCCGCACUACCGGCCCGUUCUAUAUGUCUUUCAUAGGAGCGGAGCAAGAGCGUACACGUUGGGACCCGAAAGAUGGUGAACUAUGCUUGCGCAGGUNGAAGCCAGAGA